rnacentral:lncRNA from 1 species
GGGUAUUAUGCUGAGUGAAAUAAGUCAAUCGGAGAAGGAAAAACAUUAUAUGGUCUCAUUCAUUUGGGGAAUAUAAAAAUAUGAAAUGGAAGAAGGGGAAAGAAGAAGAAAUGAGUGGAAAUGAGUGUGAAAUAUCAGAAUGGAAAUAUCAGAGUGGGAAAUAUCAGACAGAACAUGAGAGACCCCUAACUCUGGGAAACGAACAAAGGCUGGUGGAAAGUGAAGUGGGCGGGGGGUUGGGGUGAAUGGGUGAUGGGCACUGAGGGGGGCACUUGAUGGGAUGAGCACUAGGUGUUAUGCUAUAUGUUGGCAAAUUGAACUCGAAUACAAAAAUAAUUACUACGAAUGUAAAUGGACAAAACACUCUGAUGAAAAGACAUAGGGUGACAGGGUGGAUUCACAAACAAAACUGUAAAAAAUAAAACAAAACAAACUAAACUCUUUCAAUCAACAACAGCAACAACACCAACAAAAGGAAACAAGUCUCACUUAUAUGCUGACUAGUAGAGAUUCAUUUCAGAUCUAUAGACACCUGCUGAAUGAUAGCGAGCAGAUGGAGAAAAAUAUUUAUCAUUCAAGAGGUCUGAAGAAGGCAGGAGUAGGAACACUUCUUCCAGUCAAAACACACUUUAAAACAGAGUGUGUAGUAGGAGACAAAGAUGUUAUGUAUAAGAGUGGAGAUGACACAACAAGAAGAUUUAACAGUUUUAAAUAAAUGUACACACAACAUAGGAUCACCUGAAUACAUAAAGCAAUUAGGCAUUAAGGAACUAAUUGACAGUAAUACAACAAUAGUAGGAGACUUUAACACCCCUCUUACAUUAAUAGAGGGAUGACCCAAACUGAAAAUCAAAAAGGAAACAAUUACUUGGACUAAUUCACUGGUUCAAACUUGUUCAAACAGCAGAAUACUCAUUCCUUUCAAGUGCCCGUGGUAACUUCUUCAGCAUAGGUCACAGAUCAGGCCACAAAACAAGUCUCAAAAAUUCAAAAACAUUGAAAUCAUACCAAGCAUCUUUUCUGAGCACAAUGCUGUGGAACUAGAAAUCAAUCCCAAGAGAAAAAAAAAUUGGAAAAACACACAUACGCGUGGUUUACACCAUGCUAGUAAACAAUGAAUGCAUCGAAGGAGAACUCCAAGAAGACAGAAAAAAUUACAUGGAAACAAAUAAAAAUGGCAAGACCACUGUCCAGAAUCUUUGAGAUACAGCAAAAUGGAUCCUAAAGAGGGAAGGUUACAGCAAUACAGACCUACCUCAAACAAAAAUCUCAAACCACAUAAACCUAUGCUAAAGGACUCAGCAAAAGAACAGUAAAUAAAACCAAAAAACAGCAGAAGGCCACAAGUACUAAAAAUUAGAGCUGAAAUAUAUGUUACAGAAACAAAAGUAAAAAACCAGUAGAACAGAUUAAUGAAACCACUAUCUAGUUCCUUGAAGAUCAACAGAAUGAUAAUCUUGUAGGUAGACUCAUGAAAGAAGAAGGGAGAAGCACUCAAACAGAAUCACAAAGGAUAAAGGAGAAAUUGCAACCAAUUGAAUACAUACAUUAAAUGAUUGAAACAGAAUAUUAUGAAAAACUAUUGACCAAC